UGCAUGGCCGUCGUCAGUUCGUACUGUGAAGCAGUCCUGUUAAGUCAGGCAACGAGCGAGACCCACGCCACAGUUGCCAGCAUGUCCUCCGGGAUGGUGGGGACACUGUUGGGACCGCCUCUGCUAAAGAGGAGGAAGGAAUGGGCAACGGUAGGUCAGCAUGCCCCGAAUUAUCCGGGCUACACGCGGGCUACAAUGGUCAGGACAAUGGGCAUCAACACCGAAAGGUGAAGGCAAUCUCUUAAACCUGUCCUUAGUUCGGAUUGUGGGCUGCAACUCGCCCACAUGAAGCUGGAAUCUGUAGUAAUCGCGUCUCAAAAUGGCGCGGUGAAUAUGUCCCUGCUCCUU
rnacentral:rRNA from 1 species